GCACGAUGCCGAGCGGCACCGCUUCCCCGCCGUUCUCGGCGACGGAGGCCGCGACGAUGGCGCCGUUCGAAUCGUAGAUCGCGCCC
rnacentral:tRNA from 1 species